GACGAACGCUGGCGGCGUGCCUAAUACAUGCAAGUCGAACGCAGUGGGGACGGGUGAGUAACACGUGGGUAACCUCCCAUCAGAGGGGAUAACACUUGGAAACAGGUGCUAAACCGAUACUGAUGGAUGGACCCGCGGUGCAUUAGCUAGUUGGUGAGGUAACGGCUCACCAAGGCCACGAUGCCUAGCCGACCUGAGAAGGGAGUCGGCCAAACUGGGGCAGAGACAGGGCCCAGACUCCUACGGUAGGCAGCAGUAGGGAAUCUACGGCAAUGGACGAAAAUCUGACCGAGCAACGCCGCGUGGAUGAAGAAGGUUUGCGGGUCGGAAAACUCUGUUGUAAGAGAAGCGGUAUCUAACCAUAAAGCCACGGCUAACUACGUGCCGGCAGCCGCGGUAAUUC
rnacentral:rRNA from 1 species